GUGAGUCAUCGAAUCUUUGAACGCACCUUGCGCCCUUUGGCAUUCCGAAGGGCACGCCUGUUUGAGUGUCGUGAACUCCUCCACCCUCCACCUUUUUCGGAAGGUUGUUGGGCUGGGACUUGGGAGCUUGCGGGUCCCUGGCCGAUCCGCUCUCCUUGAAUACAUUAGCGAAGCCCUUGCGGCCUUGGUGUGAUAGUCAUCUACGCCUCGGCUUAGCGAACAUAGGGGACUCGCUUCCAACCGUCUCGAAAGGGACAAUUACUACGAACUUGACCUCAGAUCAGGCGGGACUACCCGCUGAACUUAA
rnacentral:rRNA from 1 species